rnacentral:rRNA from 1 species
UACAGAGGCGGCAAGCGUUGUUCGGAAUUAUUGGGCGUAAAGAGCACGUAGGCGGCUGUGUAAGUCGGUUGUGAAAGCCUUCCGCUCAACGGAAGAACGGCAUCCGAUACUGCAUGGCUUGAGUGUGGGAGGGGAGAGUGGAACUUCUGGUGGAGCGGUGAAAUGCGUAGAUAUCAGAAGGAACACCGGCGGCGAAGGCGACUCUCUGGUCCAUAACUGACGCUGAGUGUGCGAAAGCUAGGGGAGCAAACGGG